AUGCUGAGCACCACGGCGCACCACAGCAGCAGGCAGACGCAUGCUUUCGAGAAGAGCCCAAGCCGCGGCCGCCACGGCUCGGCCAGGAAGAACGGCAGCAUAGACAGGAGGCUGCAGCUGCAGGCGAUGAGCCACGCGAGCAAGUACCUGCAGCGGAUGCUUGUGUGCCCGCCGGGGCUGGGCGGCGGCGUCCGGCGGAGCGGCUCCGGCCUCUCCCUGUCGUCGCUGUCGCUGUCGCAGAACUCGAGCGACUCGUCGCUGAGCAGCUCCAACUCCAGCAGCUGGGAGCCCAAGGUGCCGCUCAUCUACGGCGGCACUUUCAGCCCGUGGGGUGACGUGCUCGUGUCCCUGGAGAGGAGGAAGGGGGACGACUGCGACGACGACGACAAGGUGAGCGGCCGUGAUGCGGAGGAGGAGGAGGAUUUUGAGUGUAGUGAGCCCGGGGGCUUGCACAGAUGCAGCUGGAUCACCAAGAACAGUGAUGAGGCAUAUGUCCAGUUCCACGACGAAUCCUGGGGCGUUCCGGUGUACAGCGACGACCGCCUGUUUGAGCUGCUCACCCUGUCGGGGAUGCUCAUAGACCACAAUUGGACAGAGAUACUCAAGAGGAGGGACAUGUACAUGGAAGCAUUUGCGGGCUUUGAUCCCAAUGUAGUGGCGAAGCUGAACGAGGAUGACAUCGCCGUGAUCAGCGCCAAUAAGGAGCUCAAGCUAGCAGAGUGCAGAGUGCGGUGCAUCGUGGAGAACGCUAAGUGCAUAAGAAAGGUGGCAAAGGAGUUUGGGUCUUUCAGUGGGUACAUCUGGGGGCACAUGAACCACCGGCCUAUGGUGGGUAAAUACAAGCACCACAAGUACAUCCCUCUCCGAACACCCAAAUCGGAGGGGAUGAGCAAGGACCUAAUCCGACGGGGUUUUCGGCUCGUUGGUCCUGUCAUUGUCUACUCCUUCAUGCAAGCCUCUGGCAUGGUCAUCGAUCACCUCGUCGGCUGCUUUCGGUUCUCUGAGUGCGUCCGCCUUGCCGAGCGGUCUUGGGGUAUCACAAAUGUCGCCACAUAG
rnacentral:rRNA from 1 species